CAAAUAGCUUCAGUUUUAAGUUAUAACUGCAUCUGUCUCGGGUGUAGACUGGUGAAUUAUGUUAAUAAACCUAUGUGUUCUAGUAGGCCUACUGGCCCAUAUUCAGAUAUCUGUGCGGAGUGUGGAAUGCAGGACGGGGCGCCCGCAUGAUUACUUGCAUUUUUUUUUUCCUAAUAAUGAAACAACAUCAGUUCGAAACUCAUAAUAGGCACAACUCAUAUUAAUAAAUAAUUAAAAUUACUACUUUUUUCCCGACACAUUCAUAAUCAUUUGGCGACUUUUUCCUGUGCUUUGUGGCAAACUUUAUGUGUGCUUGAGCGAGGAAUUAAGACUCACUGUGGAUUAUAAACUUUGUAUAAACAUACGAUUAGGCCUAGUUGGCUUAAAUGAACGACUAGUUAAGUUGUUGGGGGCAGCUCUAUUCUCCGCUCUUAGAACUGUCAAGUCUGAGAGAUCACGUUGACUAGGCUACAUUGAUUUUCCCUCUGAAACACACACACACACAAAAAAAAAAAAAAAAUUUUUUUUUUUUUUAUGAAUAGACAACCUUUCUACAUCCGGCAGAUAUGGCUGCUUAUGGCUUGUGCAUUGUAAAUCGUACAAAAUAGACUGUUAUCUCCCCAAAAACUCGUAUAUAAAUAAUAAUAUAAAACAUGUUUAUAGACUGAUUCUUUUUUGAAGUCUGGAAAAUAUAAAGAGAUGGUUCAACACAGGUCUAAUGAAUAGCCUAUUUAUAUCAGAAUUUAUGUUUUGACUGUGAAUGUCACGUCAAUAACGCUGGAAUUGCUCUAAUGUGAUGCUGGUCUUUGAAAUACAGGUACUUGCUUUUUUUGUCCAAAGUUGUGAUGCUAGUUUUUGAAACACUGCAAAAAAAGCAAAGAAAAAAAAAAAAGCACAAUUUCAAUGUUUUUGUGAACGUUCAUAAAAUAUUGUGCUUCACAUUUUCAUUCAUUUACUGUUUAUUUAUUUAUUUUAUUUUUCUUGUUAUUUAUUUAUUUAUUUAUGAUAAAGAAUCUAGUUAGGUGUGUUAAUCUGGCCCUCUUAACUGCCCAAGUUUCUCUUGGAUCCUUAGGAAAAUUAAUUGUCCACCCCUGAUCUACAUGCAAGCAGGCUUUCUAAUAAAAUAAGGUGGUUUGGUGUUCAUUAAAAAAUACAUAAAUAAAUAAAUAUAUAUAUAUAUAUAUAUAUAUAAGUGCUGCUUUAUCCGACAGUAAGGUGCAGGGUGUCAUAUAACUACAUUUAAAUAAAUUAAAUGUAUGAUUUAAUAAUAAUUUAGUUAGAUUUAAGUUAUUUAUUUAUGUAAUGUUCUAAUUUUAUAUGAUUAUUUAUGUAAAUUCUGUGUGACUGUGACAUGCUGAACGUUCGAGCCGCAUUCAAACACUGCAGCGGAGGGAGUUGCCAUGGAAACAGAGCGGCAACACAACGACUGACAAGCAGGAAGCUCCGUUUCUCGCUGCUGUUUUUACUGUUUUCGAAGAAAAACAAAAGCACGGCAAGAUGGGAGGCUCCAAGAUUUCACAAUUUCUGAAGGGAGCCGCAGACGGAGAAGUAAGGAACACAAGUGAACAGACUCAGAGCGGACCUCCUGUCGGACAACAUCUUCCAGGCACAAUGAACAAUAUGGUUGGAAAGCAAAAGGAGAAAGAUUAGAAUAGCUGCUGUUUAUAUUUCGGGAUGUCCAUCCCAAGGUUACUAGAGAUUACACUAGUUCCAGUUUGGAUCCAGCCUCGCGUGUGAAGACUUCAGAAGACGCCAACACUCACAAAGACUUCAGAUGAUGGCAACUAGAUGAACAUACAAAGCUGCCAAAUAAUCCUUAUAUUGUAAUCAUUGCCCUAAAAGGUUUUCUGGAUUCCCAGUUGAAGACAUCAGUACAUCAGGUGUUGAUCUGGACAGCUGUAUCUACAGUACACCACACUGACCUCUGCUUUUGCAUAGAUGGCUGACUACUACCAUGGUAUUAUUGGUAUUAUGUUCUAAGGCAGGGGUACUCAAGUUCAGAGGCCAAGCGGGCCGCAUUUAAACUGCAUACGAUGCGAAGGGCCACAAAUUGCAAUUUGCAUCAUCAGACUUUAAGACAAUAAGAUUGCGUGGGUGAUUGAAUCUGUUCGCGAUCUGACUAUUUAUUUAAAUAUCCAACAGCAUACGACAAUAAACAUACGACGCGAUAUGGUUUAACUGUGUUCUUCAAGCCAUCUCUGGUAUUUUCAUAAUAAUAAAGUAUAUUUAUAA